GACGAACGCUGGCGGCGUGCCUAAUACAUGCAAGUAGAACGCUGAAGAGAGGAGCUUGCUCUUCUUGGAUGAGUUGCGAACGGGUGAGUAACGCGUAGGUAACCUGCCUUGUAGCGGGGGAUAACUAUUGGAAACGAUAGCUAAUACCGCAUAACAAUGGAUGACACAUGUCAUUUAUUUGAAAGGGGCAAUUGCUCCACUACAAGAUGGACCUGCGUUGUAUUAGCUAGUAGGUGAGGUAAUGGCUCACCUAGGCGACGAUACAUAGCCGACCUGAGAGGGUGGUCGACCACACUGGGACUGGGACACGGCCCAGACUCCUACGGGAGGCAGCAGUAGGGAAUCUUCGGCAAUGGGGGCAACCCUGACCGAGCAACGCCGCGUGAGUGAAGAAGGUUUUCGGAUCGUAAAGCUCUGUUGUAAGUCAAGAACGGGUGUGAGAGUGGAAAGUUCACACUGUGACGGUAGCUUACCAGAAAGGGACGGCUAACUACGUG
rnacentral:rRNA from 1 species